rnacentral:lncRNA from 10 species
CAGUGAGAGGAGGAUUGCCAGGAAAGAAGCCUUUUUAUUCAUGCGAUGUCAGCCCAGGAAAAUAGGAGAUCAGUCUCAAAUCUGUCUCCCCUACCAACUGAAAUUGAGGGCUUUAUGUAUCAGGAGGAGGAAUUGUAAUUAUGUGAAUAAUUUCUGGCCAAUAAGACAAGCAAAAGAAUUGUGUGCAACUUCUGGGAAGAGAAGAGAUGUGACUUCCUUCAUCUUGUUCUUCACCUUGCUGUCUGGAAUAUGAACUUGAUGGCUGGAACUUGAGCAGCCUUCUUGGAUCAGAAGGCGGCCUGGGAAUAGGAAUAGAGCUGAAGAGAAGCCGCUGCAUUCUUGAAAAUUAUAAAGAUGCCAUGCCAUUUCAGCUUGCUUUCCUGUGGACUUCAUUUAUAUGUAUGAAAUAAAAGUUUAUAUUGUUUAAGCUCCUGUGGGUUUUCUGUCACUUGCAACUAAAUACAAACUUAUAUAAUUUGAAAUGU